CUGGUGGUUAACUGUGUCAAAAGCAGCAGACAGAUCCAGCAAGAUGAGUACUGAGGAUUUGGAAGCUGCUCUUGCCAGUCGCAGGGCUUCAGUAACCAAGAGCAGGGCAGUCUCAGUUGAGUGGCCGCUUUUGAAGCCAGAUUUAUUGCUGUCCAGGAGGUUGUUCUGUACAAGAACACAACUCGCUUGAGUGUCUUUGCAAUGAAUGAAAGAAGGGAUACCGGUCUGUAGUUUUCUACAUUGCGUUCCAAAUUAUUAUGCAAGUGAUAUAUCAAUAGGAUUUCGGUACAAUAAAGAGUCAAUAAAGUGGUUUAUCAAGUCUUUUUAGAUAACUGGUAUCAAUCUCAGACAGAUUUGUUCAAUAGUUUGCCGGGUCUUCUUAGGUAAAUGGAAACCCUACUUAAAGAGGUUGUUCCAAAUUAUAAAGCAAGUCACAGUUCUCAUGAAAUAUGGUGAGGAAGAAAGAUCUUUCUGAAGAUGAAAAGUAUGAAAAAAUGUGAUGUCUUGCAAAAGGCAUCAAAACAAACAAUAUUUCACGAAAAGCAAAUAGAAAUUUUUGAACUGUCAAAAGAUUUGUGAGGGACUUACAGCACAGAAGAUCUUGGUCAGAUAAAGAUUUAUUAAGGAGAAUUUCUGUCAAACAAAUGAACUGUAUUGUAAUACCAGCUAUAAAAAAGCCACUGCUGAGCAGCAGACAGGUGUUUGAAGCUACUGGAGUCUCAAGAUCCUCUCCAUGUAGACUGACAGUUGUGUGUAAAGCUUGUGUUUCAGUCACUGCUAACCAAACCUCACAAAGAGAAACCUGCACAGUGGCUGUAGAAACACAUUUACAACUGUUUAGCACAAUGGUAUUUAUGCAGCAUGGGAUAGUUGUUAUCCUGCUUGAAAAUCCUUUUAUUUCCGAGAGCACUAUUCUUCAGAAAAUGGUCAGUUAUGAACUCCACAUAUCUUGCAGAAGUCAUUUUGACACCCUAAAAUGACCUUACAUCUCACUUCCCAAUAUUCCAACCCAAAUCAUCACCCACCACCUCCUUGCUGAUGUUGCCAGUCUCAUUGGAAUAAGAUGACCAUUCAUUAACUAUCAGAAAUCCAUUCAUCUGGACCAUCCAUUGUACUGCAGCAUUCGUAAGUGAAUAAAACUAUUUAAAAACAAGUCUUCAUGUGUUUCUACAGCCACUGUGCAGGUUUCUCUUUGUGAGGUUUGGUUAGCAGUGACUGAAACGCAGCUUUACACACAACUGCCAUUCUGCAUGGAGAGGAUCUUGAGACUCCAGUAGCUUCAAACACCACGGUUCAAUCAUUUCUAUUAGCUUUUUGCAAAAUAUUGUUUGUUUUGGUGCCUUCUGCAAGACAUUGCAGUGUUUUUUUUUUAUAUACUUUUCAUCUUCAGAAAGAUCUUUCUUCCUCACCAUAUUUCAUGAAAACUGUGACUUGCUUAAUAAUGUGGAACAACCUCUUUAAGUAGAGUUUCCAUUUACCUAAAAAGACCUGGCAAACUAUUGACCAAACCUGUCUGAUAUUGAUACCGUUUUUCUAAAAAGAUGUGCAAAACAACACAAACAAAAAUCUGACUCUUUAUUGUACCAAAAUCCUAUUGAUAUGUCACUUGCAUAAUAAUUUGGAACACAGUGUAAAGCCAUACCGGUUAGACAUUUCAUUUGCUGUUCUGCAUGCACUUUUUCUGAGCGCAUACGCAUGAAGCGCGCUCACACUAAGAGCCUUUCAAAAAGUGCCUGAUAACUGGACUAAGUUGUCUUUCGUGUCUGAUCGAUUCUGCAUCUAAUACUGCCAAAAACACACAAGGUUUACAUAUAAACACAGUUGGUUAUGUCUAAAAUUAAAGUAAACAGUUGAGAGAGAAACGUGUGAAGGUCUUAUAGGGACAGUAGUUACUAAACAUGAUGUGACUGUCUUUAAAGGGAUAGUUCAACCCCCAAAAAAUAAACUUCUGUCAUUAUUUACUCACUCACAUUUUGUCCCAAACCUUAAUUUCUUUCUUUUGCUGAAUACAAAAGAAGAUAUUUUGAUGAAUGAGGGUAACCAAACAGUAGCUGGUCCACAUUGACUUUGACAUUAGGAAAAAAAAAUACCAUGGAUGUUACUGGGGACCAGCAACUGAUUGGUUACCCACAUUCUUCAAAAAUAACUUUUAUGUUUAACAGAUGAAAUAAACUAAUUCAGGUUUAAAACAACUUGAGUAAAUGAUGGUGAAAAUGAAACACUAUGACAGAAUUGAAAGACAUGACAAAAAUGUCAUUUUUGGUGAACUAUUCUUUUAAUGUUAAUAAAAAAAAACAGAAACAGAAAAAUCACUCACUGUUUUUAACUGAUAAACUUAUCAUCAGUCAGUUGCUUUUAAAAAAAGUAUAUACAGUAGUGUAUGUAUAUAGUGUUUUAUUUUAAUUUGUUCAUUCAGUUUCUUGAAUGUUACUGCUAAAUACUGUACCUGAAAAAUAAAGCACUGUUUGAUUUAUUUGUAUAUGAUGUGUAUUUGUGAUGUAUAUCUUUGUUCUUUAUUUCUAAUAACAAAGAUUAAUAACAAAGAUU
ensembl:lncRNA